AUGCGUGGUAGCCGCAGCGCCGCCGGCAUUCUCGUUAGUGCCUCUGCCUGCGGCAAAAUGGCGGCGUCCUGCUCCUGGGGAGAAGCUGUGUCGCCUCGGCUCGGGACGGGACGGGACGGGACGCGACACCACACCACACCGAGUUUGGUGGUCGGGGCCGCCCCGGGACGCUCAGCCUCCGGAUCCUUACCGAGGAGGAAGCCGGGGGAGAGAGCGAGCGAGAAACGCCUGAACCGUGACAUCGUCCCGGCGGCACCCAGAGCGGGAGCUGCGGUGAGUGUCCUGCCGCCCGGCCCCUUUCUUAACCUGUCCCCUGUCCCGCGGAACGGCGGGGAACAGGAUGGGGGGGGCGGAGGGGGGACCGCUGCUCGGGGAGGGCUGGGCGUCAGUCAGCAGGUGGUGAGCAAUAGCAUCGCGCAUCGCUUGCUUUGCAAUGUUCCCUCAUCAUCGUUGUUAUGAUUUCCCUGCCUUUUUUGUCCUAUUAAACCGUCUUUAUCCGAACCCACGAGCUUUACCUGUUUUUUCUUCCCGAGUCUCCCACGGUGGGGAGAAAAGCACCACUCAGCCAUUCGCUCUGGCCACCUGCUGGGUUCAGCCAGAACGAGAACGCAGAUGGGAAAGAGCAGAAUGCGCAUGUCCUCAUUUGGUUUUCAAAAGGAAACGGACUAACAAGUUACUCUAGCGAACAGUUUGGGGUUGAUUGGGCAAGUUCUCCUGACUUCGGGAACUUGUCAGGACUACCGGUCUUCUCUUUCUAAUGUUAUUUUUCAUAAUACUCACCGCAAACCCUUGCCGAAUUCGAAAAAGUUACAGGGAGGUCGCCUGUGCUGUCUUUGCGUCUCUCUGGAAAGGGGGAUGCGUUGCACAGAGGCGUGACUCUUUUUCUCUAAUCUCUCGUCAAAAACUUCUGGGUAAACAGAUCCUUCAGCUCGUUGGAUACGGACGACCUGCAGGGUUGUUUGCCGUUCCCACGACAGGGAUAGCUGCAGAGCGGGUACCGAGCGGGAAGGAGAUUCGAGCGACAGCUAAUGUCACCAUCGAGAGCACCGUGGCAUGGGAGCAGCCGGGGACAGGACACGGAAGGAGAACUUGAUAAGGAGCUGCUCUGGAAGGUGGAGGCAGGCAGCGACCCAAGAGGAGCAAAAUCAGCAGGGGAAGGUGGGAUCGGGGUGGGGGGAUGUUAAGAAUGUUAAGAGAGGAGGAGCAGCCGAGAGGAGCAACUUUUCCCUUUCCUGCGGAGGGAGAUGAUGAUGGAAAACCUGCCCUGAAGAAACGCUUGCCGCUUGCCAUUCAGGCUGUAAAGCCGCACAUGCGUCUUCCUGAGACCGGCUGCACGCGUGUGGCAUCUCAGGCCGUGAGCUGCUCAGGCAGGGAUUUCUCCGUGCAGGGCGUAGAGUCCCUGGGAAAGCCAUCAUCUGGUGGAAGAAAGCCCAGGGGACUUCUCAGAGGUAAGAAGCCU
rnacentral:lncRNA from 1 species